GCUGCUGCUCAGACUGAUGUUCACUCGUCAUCCAGACACGAUGAAGACUCCGUGUGUCUCUCUGCUCCUCGGUGUGUGUGUGCUGCUGCUGUCUGCACCGACUGUUUCUGCAGUGUCUCUGUCUGUCGGUCCAAACCUUCAGCAGUUCUUCAGAGGAUCUUUAGUGGAUCUGAGUUGUGUUGAUGAUGGACAGACAGCUGAUGGAUGGACAGUGAAGAGGACCAGAGGAGGACUCACUGAGGACUGUGGAGCAGCUCCAGGCUUUGGGGGGCUUCUUGGUUCCUACUGUGUUGUGGAUCUUUCUGCUCCCAGUGAAACCUUCUGGUGUGAGGACUCCUCUGGACAGCAGAGUGACAGAGUCUCCUUCAGUGUCCAAUCAGACACUAAAGGUGUCAUCCUGGAGAUCCCUGCACUUCCUGUGAGGACAGGAAGUGAUGUCAUUCUGCGCUGCAGACAGAGGAAUGGUGCCACAGUCGCAGCUUAUUUCUUCAUCAAAGGAAGUUCUGUUGGUCAUAAACCAGAGCACAUCAUCACUAACAUCACGCAGGCUGAUGAAGGUCUCUACUCAUGUUCUACUGAUGAGGGUGGAAAGUCUCCUCAGAGCUCUCUGAGGGUCAGAGAUCCUCCCAAAAUCACCCAUCCUCCUCCUCACUGUCCUCCUCCUGCAAGCACCUCCACAAACUUUGCUCCUCCCUUAAAAACUGCUCUUACAUGUCCUCCCUGUAUUCCUCCUCCUCCUCCUCCCUCUCUCCUGGUCCCAGUUGUAGCAGGUCUGGUCUCUGGGGUUCUCCUGGUUCUGGUUCUGGGUGGAGUUCGGUUCCUCUGCAGUAAACUCAAAGGAGGUCGGGGAGCAGACCUGUGGAGCUGUGGAGGUGACGGCUGUCUGAGACGGAGCGUCUGCCUCUGCUUUUCAGGCCUGUUUCUGCUGACUGCUGCAGGUGUGUGUGUGCUGCUGGUGUCUGCUCUGACCGUUUCUACAGGUCCUCCUACUCCAUGUGAGUCUGUGCUGAGGCUCGUCUGCCAUCUAGUGGUCUUCUGUCCAUACUGCAUCUCUACUGGCCUGCUGCUGUCCCUCUGCUGCAGCAGGAGGACACCGAACAAACCGGCUGUCUCCAUGGAGAUGACCAAGUGUGAUGGAGGAGGUCAGGGACUGGCUGAAGAUGGUGAUGAUGUCACUGAUGAUGUCACCACUCAUCAUGCCUUCUGAGCUGCAGACUGUGUGUCAGCGUACCAGCAUCUGCAGUACUUCUGUCUCUUGGUUCCUCUUUUGCUGUGUUGGAGAAAUGUUCUAGUGUUUAGUGUCAGUAUGGAUUAGGUAGGUUUGAGUUUAUCUCUUCAUCCCUGUUUCCUGUGUAAGUCUGUCCUCUGUGUCUGUCUCCUCUUUCUGUAUUGUGCCUCCUGUACAUUCUCCCAGUCCAUCAUGUGCGUCUAUUCCCGUUGUCUUCAAAGUCCAUCUAGUUCUUCCCUCCCGUCUCCUGUGUCAUGUUGUGUGAAUUAGUGUUUCCUGUUUUACUUUGACAGUAUAACGUCCUGUGUUCGGUGUGUAUGUGUAGUUUUGCUUCCUGUGUGUCGUCAGGUCUCCCUAAUUACCCUUGUGUGCUUAUGUCGUGUCUGUUUUCCUGUGUCUCUCACGUCAUGUUCCAGUUUUCCUUGUUUUUUGCUUUAGUUUUCCCAGUUUAGUCAGUGAGUCUAGUCUUGGUUUCACAUUUUAUGUAUGUCAACAUUCCAGCCUCAAUAAAUGACUCUUUCUGUUCAACCU